UAGGGAAUCUUCCACAAUGGACGCAAGUCUGAUGGAGCAACGCCGCGUGAGUGAAGAAGGUUUUCGGAUCGUAAAGCUCUGUUGUUGGUGAAGAAGGAUAGAGGUAGUAACUGGCCUUUAUUUGACGGUAAUCAACCAGAAAGUCACGGCUAACUACGUGCCAGCAGCCGCGGUAAUACGUAGGUGGCAAGCGUUGUCCGGAUUUAUUGGGCGUAAAGCGAGCGCAGGCGGAAGAAUAAGUCUGAUGUGAAAGCCCUCGGCUUAACCGGGGAACUGCAUCGGAAACUGUUUUUCUUGAGUGCAGAAGAGGAGAGUGGAAUUCCAUGUGUAGCGGUGGAAUGCGUAGAUAUAUGGAAGAACACCAGUGGCGAAGGCGACUCUCUGGUAUGCAACUGACGCUGAGGCUUGAAAGCAUGGGUAGCGAACAGG
rnacentral:rRNA from 1 species